AUUGAACGCUGGCGGCAGGCCUAACACAUGCAAGUCGAGCGGAUGACGGGAGCUUGCUCCUUGAUUCAGCGGCGGACGGGUGAGUAAUGCCUAGGAAUCUGCCUGGUAGUGGGGGACAACGUUUCGAAAGGAACGCUAAUACCGCAUACGUCCUACGGGAGAAAGCAGGGGACCUUCGGGCCUUGCGCUAUCAGAUGAGCCUAGGUCGGAUUAGCUAGUUGGUGGGGUAAUGGCACACCAAGGCGACGAUCCGUAACUGGUCUGAGAGGAUGACCAGUCACACUGGAACUGAGACACGGUCCAGACUCCUACGGGAGGCAGCAGUGGGGAAUAUUGGACAAUGGGCGAAAGCCUGAUCCAGCCAUGCCGCGUGUGUGAAGAAGGUCUUCGGAUUGUAAAGCACUUUAAGUUGGGAGGAAGGGCAGUAAGUUAAUACCUUGCUGUUUUGACGUUACCGACAGAAUAAGCACCGGCUAACUCUGUGCCAGCCGCCGCGGUAAAAC
rnacentral:rRNA from 1 species